GACGGAGGGUGCUAGCGUUGUUCGGAAUGACUGGGCGUAAAGGGCGCGUAGGCGGCCGCUUGCGUCGGAUGUGAAAGCCCGGGGCUCAACCCCGGAACUGCAUCCGAUACGGGGUGGCUCGAGGCCGAGAGAGGUGAGUGGAAUACCCAGUGUAGAGGUGAAAUUCGUAGAUAUUGGGUGGAACACCGGUGGCGAAAGCGGCUCACUGGCUCGGUUCUGACGCUGAGGCGCGAAAGCGUGGGGAGCAAACAGG
rnacentral:rRNA from 1 species